rnacentral:rRNA from 1 species
GCAAUCCACGGGGGGCAGCAGUGGGGAAUAUUGCAAAAUGGGGGAAACCCUGAUGCAGCGACGCCGCGUGGGUGAAGAAGUACUUCGGUACGUAAAGCCCUAUCAGCAGGGAAGAAAAUGACGGUACCUGAUUAAGAAGCCCCGGCUAACUACGUGCCAGCAGCCGCGGUAAUACGUAGGGGGCAAGCGUUAUCCGGAUUUACUGGGGGUAAAGGGAGCGUAGACGGCAUUGCAAGUCCG